CUGGGUGAAAGCUCUUCCCGUGGGAUGGUCACGUGUCCUCGGGGAGUGUGUGUUACUCUAGGAGCCUGUCGGAGGGGGAAUAUGGUCCACAGCCGAGCACGCGCGCACGGGGGCCAGUGAGAGCGCGAGAGAGAAAGCAGAGCGACCAGCUCUCCAGCAGGCGCCUUUUUUAUUUUCACGACAGCAGCUGGGAGAAGCGCGCGAGGGGAGCUCCACGCUGCGCUCGCUCAACUUUCGGUGAAACGGCAGCGCGAGCCUCUACGCGCGUCUACGCUGGAGCGAGCGGAGGAUCGUCCGUCCGUGCGCGCGUGUGAGGUGGGAAGAAGAAAGUUUGAGCACCUGGGAGAAAACCUAUGUGGACACAACAAGAACAAACCAAAAUCCUCCCAGACAGAGACCACAGUGAGGUUCAAACCCACAACCAGCAGAGACACUACCUGCUGCAUCACUACCACGCCACCCAGAUUUAACCUUCUGAACAAUUUAGGCCCUUUUUACUUGUGGGCUGUUGCAGUGCAACUGAAUGAAUUACGCCGUACGAGUGCAGUGCGGAUCAUUACAUGCUCUCUGCUCACCAGGACGAGUGAUUCAUUAUCCACCUCACCAGCAGAGGUAUGAUUGGAAAUUCAAUUAGUUGAUGCUUACCGCUUGGCUGUUGUUUUGUCUUUCCAUUUU
rnacentral:lncRNA from 1 species